UCGAGACGAAGACCUCGAAAGAGAGAGAAUCGUAUCGGCAUGUGAAUGUGAAAGUAUCGCUUGUUCGCCUGGGCAACGAACAUGCGCCUAAUGCAGUAGCUGGGCUGAAACUUUCUGUAAAAUUGAAUUGGUCACAGCCGUGAGACCAAUGGAUCCUGACCUGCUCGAGGAUUCUGCGGAUUCCCUCGCGGGGUGCGUCCUCAUAGUUGCUGGGAUCAACCGAGAGGAGCUUCAUCACGCGAACCUUCCCGCCCGGACAUUCCGCGUAGACGUCGGUGAAGGUACCGCCACGAUCAAUGGCGAACCCGAAUUUAUCCUCGACGACCAUGAUUCUGGUUCGACUGCUUUUCCUCCUCAAUGCUCCCUGAGCUCCACAAUAAGUAUCUUGCAAUACUGCACGAUUACUCAACCUCAAGCCGCUAUGUAGGGUAAUAAAUUAGGUAAUAUUAACGAUCGUCAAUGUUAUUCAUAUUGCUAAAUGGUACCGUUGAAAAAGCAAUAUGUUGUUUCGUUAGUUCAACAGUGUCGGCCAAUAAAAGAGUUUCGGUAAAAACUUAUGAAACGAAUUGGCUCAUGAAUAACCAUAUUUACUCAUACAUAUACGGAUUUUCCUUUUUUCGGCUAAAUAACAUUCAUCAAAACUUUGACUAGAAAUGUGUACUAAAAAAUUAUUCUAAUUUGCAGCUUGAAGACAAACCGUCGAAAAAUAAUUAGAUGAUUAAAAAAUCAUAACUAGUAAUUUAUUCGCCGUUACAUAAUUCAAUUGGAAAAAGUAGUGAACCAGCCAAUCUGAAUUGCAUUAUUGCAUAGAAAUUUUGUGCGAUAACAGAGAUCCCCCCCCCACCCUGAUAUUAGAAUAGCAUUGAAUCACUUCUUGUAUUGCAGUUGCAUCAGCUGUGCAUUGAAAUCGAUAAAUUUUUACCAAUCAUCGCAAGGCUAAUGCGUCAGAUGCAAAUCAUCGAUUUCACUGAGUUACAACACUAUAAAAGACUAGGUAUUAGCUCAGCUGUAUUGUGAAUGAUCGUGCAUUUAUCAGAUAGUUGACAGACGUAUGAAAGCAAUGUUACGUAACUAUUAUAUUUACGCUUGAUUCAUUUAUUUUGAUUUACAACUGAUAUUGAAGACAAUUCAACAUUUCCUCCCGCGUUAUCUAUCGCAAAUUGUUAAAUAUUUGAAUAGCAGCACAGACUUGUGUCCUUGCAACUUUUCACGGGCUGGAUAAUGAGAUGUACGGCACCACGAAUAGUUGAAAAUCGAAUUCAGUUGAAA
rnacentral:lncRNA from 1 species